rnacentral:rRNA from 1 species
AUGGCGCAAGAUAAUACCAAAUUGUGUGAUUUCUCGAAUACCAAUAAUAAUGAUUUCCUUAGUACUCCGAUUGCUCCUCUUAAUGAUGUUGAGUCUUGUGAAAUCAAUACUGCUUUGUUGAAUCAUGUUAUGAAAGAUCAAUUCGCCGGCCUUCCUAGUGAAGAUGCCGCUACUCAUCUAAACAACUUUGUCGAUUUGUGUGAUAUGCAAAAGAAGAAAGAUACGCAUAACAAUAUUGUCAAAUUGAAGUUAUUUCCGUUUUCUCUUAGAGAUCGUGCUAAAGUUUGGUUUUCGUCUUUGCCUAAAAAUAGUAUUGAUUCUUGGAACAAGUGCAAAGAUGCUUUUAUCUCUAAGUAUUUUCCUGCCGCUAAGAUCAUCACUCUUAGGAACGAUAUUAUGAAUUUUAAACAACUUGAUCAUGAGCAUGUUGCCCAAUCUUGGGAAAGCAUGAAAUUGAUGCUUCGCAAUUGCCCUACUCAUGGUUUGAAUUUAUGGAUGAUCAUACAAAAAUUUUAUGCCGGUUUGAACUUUGCUUCUAGAAAUCUCUUAGAUUCGGCCGCGGGAGGCACGUUUAUGGAAAUCACGUUAGGAUAUGCUACAAAACUUCUUGAUAACAUUAUGGCUAAUUAUUCUCAAUGGCAUACCGAAAGAUCUUCUAGUAAAAAAGUGCAUGCUAUAGAAGUAAUCAAUGUUUUGAGUGGAAAGAUGGAUGAACUUAUGAAGAUGUUUGCUACUAAAAAUACUCCUCUUGAUCCCAAUGAUAUGCCUUUGUCUUCUUUGAUUGAGAAUAAUAAUGAAUCUAUGGAUGUGAAUUUUGUUGAUAGGAAUAGUUUUGGAAACAAUGCUUAUAGAGGAAACUUUAAUGCUAGACCGUUCCCUAGUAAUUCCUCUAAUAAUUAUGGAAAUUCCUAA